AGAGUUUGAUCCUGGCUCAGAGCGAACGCUGGCGGCAGGCCUAACACACGCAAGUCGAGCGCCCCGCAAGGGGAGCGGCAGACGGGAGAGUAACACGUGGGAACGUACCCUUCGGUUCGGAACAACCCAGGGAAACUUGGGCUAAUACCGGAUACGUCCGUAAGGAGAAAGAUUUAUCGCCGAAGGAUCGGCCCGCGUCUGAUUAGCUUGUUGGUGAGGUAACGGCUCACCAAGGCGACGAUCAGUAGCUGGUCUGAGAGGAUGAUCAGCCUCACUGGGACUGAGACACGGCCCAGACUCCUACGGGAGGCAGCAGUGGGGAAUAUUGGACAAUGGGCGCAAGCCUGAUCCAGCCAUGCCGCGUGGGUGAUGAAGGCCCUAGGGUUGUAAAGCCCUUUCGGCGGGGAAGAUAAUGACGGUACCCGCAGAAGAAGCCCCGGCUAACUUCGUGCCAGCAGCCGCGGUAAU
rnacentral:rRNA from 1 species